GGCUCGGUAGCUUAGUUGGUAAAGCACUUGUCUGACGAAUAAGGGUCGUGCGUGAGUUCAAAUCUCACCUGAGCUG